UACGGAGGAUGCGAGCGUUAUCCGGAUUUAUUGGGUUUAAAGGGUGCGUAGGUUGUUUUUUAAGUCAGCGGUGAAAGUUUGUGGCUCAACCAUAAAAUUGCCGUUGAAACUGGCAGUCUUGAGUACAGUAGAGGUGGGCGGAAUUCGUGGUGUAGCGGUGAAAUGCGUAGAUAUCACGCAGAACUCCGAUUGCGAAGGCAGCAUACCGGCGCCCAACUGACGCUGAAGCACGAAAGCGUGGGUAUCGAACAGG
rnacentral:rRNA from 1 species